rnacentral:rRNA from 1 species
AACGUAGGUGGCAAGCGUUAUCCGGAUUUACUGGGCGUAAAGGGUGUGCAGGCGGGGAAGCAAGUGGUGUAUGAAAUCUCCAGGCUUAACCUGGAGGGGUUAUGCCAGACUGCUUUUCUAGAGGACGAGAGAGGGGGGUGGAAUUCCGGGUGUAGUGGUGAAAUGCGUAGAGAUCCGGAGGAACCCCAGAGGCGAAGGCGGCCCC